AUUGAACGCUGGCGGCAUGCCUUACACAUGCAAGUCGAACGGCAGCACGGGAGCAAUCCUGGUGGCGAGUGGCGAACGGGUGAGUAAUACAUCGGAACGUGCCCAAUCGUGGGGGAUAACGUAGCGAAAGCUACGCUAAUACCGCAUACGAUCUACGGAUGAAAGCGGGGGAUCGCAAGACCUCGCGCGAAUGGAGCGGCCGAUGGCAGAUUAGGUAGGUAGUGAGGUAAAGGCUCACCAAGCCUGCGAUCUGUUGCUGGUCUGAGAGGACGAGCAGCCACACUGGGACUGAGACACGGCCCAGACUCCUACGGGAGGCAGCAGUGGGGAAUUUUGGACAAUGGGCGCAAGCCUGAUCCAGCAAUGCCGCGUGCAGGAUGAAGGCCUUCGGGUUGUAAACUGCUUUUGUACGGAACGAAACGGUCCUUUCUAAUACAAGGGGCUAAUGACGGUACCGUAAGAAUAAGCACCGGCUAACUACGUGCCAGCAGCCGCAGUAA
rnacentral:rRNA from 1 species